GACGAACGCUGGCGGCGUGCCUAAUACAUGCAAGUCGAACGCUUCUUUCCUCCCGAGUGCUUGCACUCAAUUGGAAAGAGGAGUGGCGGACGGGUGAGUAACACGUGGUAACCUACCCAUCAGAGGGGGAUAACACUUGGAAACAGGUGCUAAUACCGCAUAACAGUUUAUGCCGCAUGGCAUAAGAGUGAAAGGCGCUUUCGGGUGUCGCUGAUGGAUGGACCCGCGGUGCAUUAGCUAGUUGGUGAGGUAACGGCUCACCAAGGCCACGAUGCAUAGCCGACCUGAGAGGGUGAUCGGCCACACUGGGACUGAGACACGGCCCAGACUCCUACGGGAGGCAGCAGUAGGGAAUCUUCGGCAAUGGACGAAAGUCUGACCGAGCAACGCCGCGUGAGUGAAGAAGGUUUUCGGAUCGUAAAACUCUGUUGUUAGAGAAGAACAAGGACGUUAGUAACUGAACGUCCCCUGACGGUAUCUAACCAGAAAGCCACGGCUAACUACGUG
rnacentral:rRNA from 1 species